CAAGCGUUGUCCGGAUUUAUUGGGCGUAAAGAGCGUGUAGGCGGCCAGGUAAGUCUGCUGUGAAAACUCGAGGCUUAACCUCGAGCUGUCGGCGGAAACCAUCUGGCUAGAGUCCGGAAGAGGAGAAUGGAAUUCCCGGUGUAGCGGUGAAAUGCGCAGAUAUCGGGAAGAACACCCGUGGCGAAGGCGGUUCUCUGGGACGGUACUGACGCUGAGACGCGAAAGCGUGGGGAGCGAACAGG
rnacentral:rRNA from 1 species